rnacentral:rRNA from 1 species
GAUGGGGGCGGCCUACCAUGCAGUCGAGCGGAUGAGAGGAGCUUGCUCUUCGAUUCGACGGCGGACGGGUGAGUAAUGCCUAGGAAUCUGCCUAGUAGUGGGGGACAACGUUUCAAAGGGAACGCUAAUACCGCAUACGUCCUACGGGAGAAAGUGGGGGAUCUUCGGACCUCACGCUAUUAGAUGAGCCUAGGUCGGAUUAGCUAAUUGGUAGGGUAAAGGCCUACCAGGGCAACGAUCCGUAACUGGUCUGAAAGGAUGAUCAAUCCCUCUGGAACUGAGACACGGUCCAUACUCCUACGGGAGGCAGCACUGGGGAAUAUUGGACAAUGGGCGAAAGCCUGAUCCAGCCAUGCCGCGUGUCUGAAGAAGGCCUUCGGGUCGUAAAGCACUUUAAAUUGGGAGGAAGGGCUCAUAGCGAAUACCUGUGAGUUUUGACGUUACCAACAAAAUAAGCACCGGCUAACUUCGUGCCAACAGCCGCGGUAAUACUAAUGGUGCAAGCGUUGAUCUCAAUUACUGGGCGUCUAGCGCGCGUAUGUGGCUUGAUAAUCUGGAUGAGAGAUCAGCGGACUCAACCUGCGAGCUGCAUCCUAAACUGUCUGGAUAUACUGAGGAACAGCAUAGUGGAAUUUCCAGUGUAGCGGUGAUAUGCAUACAUAUUGGAAAGAACACCAGUGGCGAACGCGACUACCUGCACUGACACUGACCCCUGAUGUGCGAUAGCGUGUGGGCGCACACAGGAUUAGAUACUCUGGGAGUCCACGCCCGUAAAUCGAUGUCUACUACCUCGGGUGAGUAUCGUCGAGAUCAUAGUAGCUGCAGCUUACUGCACUGAGUGCACGACAUGCGGAGUACGGAUCGUGCGAUGUAUUUAUCAACACGCAAAUGA